rnacentral:rRNA from 1 species
AGUGAACGCUGGCGGUAGGCCUAACACAUGCAAGUCGAACGGCAGCACGGGAGAGCUUGCUCUCUGGGUGGCGAGUGGCGGACGGGUGAGGAAUACAUCGGAAUCUACUUUUUCGUGGGGGAUAACGUAGGGAAACUUACGCUAAUACCGCAUACGACCUACGGGUGAAAGCAGGGGACCUUCGGGCCUUGCGCGAUUGAAUGAGCCGAUGUCGGAUUAGCUAGUUGGCGGGGUAAAGGCCCACCAAGGCGACGAUCCGUAGCUGGUCCGAGAGGAUGAUCAGCCACACUGGAACUGAGACACGGUCCAGACUCCUACGGGAGGCAGCAGUGGGGAAUAUUGGACAAUGGGCGCAAGCCUGAUCCAGCCAUACCGCGUGGGUGAAGAAGGCCUUCGGGUUGUAAAGCCCUUUUGUUGGGAAAGAAAUCCAGCUGGCUAAUACCCGGUUGGGAUGACGGUACCCAAAGAAUAAGCACCGGCUAACUUCGUGCCAGCCGCCGCAGUAA